GACGAACGCUGGCGGCGUGCUUAACACAUGCAAGUCGAACGGAAAGGCCCUGCUUUUGUGGGGCGCUCGAGAGGCGAACGGGUGAGUAACACGCGAGUAACCUGCCCCUGACUGUGGGAUAACUCUAGGAAAAUGGGGCUAAUACAGGAGAGGAGCUCUUGCUGCACGGUGUGGGAUGGAAAGAUUCGGCGGUUGGGGAUGGACUCGCGGCUUAUCAGCUUGUUUGUGGGGUAGUGACAUACCAAGCCUUUGACGGCUAGCCGGCCUGAGAGGGUGACCGGCCACAUUGGGACUGAGAUACGGCCCAGACUCCAACGGGAGGCAGCAGGGGGGAAUAUUGCACAAUGGGCGGAAGCCUGAUGCGGCAACGCCGCGUGCGGGAUGACGGCCUUCGGGUUGUAAACCGCUUUCGCCUGUGACGAAGCGUGAGUGACGGUAAUGGGUAAAGAAGCACCGGCUAACUACGUG
rnacentral:rRNA from 1 species